AUCGCUUCUCGGCCUUUUGGCUAAGAUCAAGUGUAGUAUCUGUUCUUAUCAGUUUAAUAUCUGAUACGUCCCCUAUCUGGGGACCAUAUAUUAAAUGGAUUAAAUGGAUUUUUGAGAACGGGGGCUGAUUUCGAAGCUUGCUUCCGUCGCCCUAUGCAUUGACCCGAUAUGGCAGUAUCUUCGGGUACAGUGCACCACCC